AAACCCCACUCUCCAAUCUGCCAAAGAGUCCUAGAGUCGUUGUCGAGACUCGGUUUUGUGCCUCAGGGUCUGAUUUUGACCCUGGUUCAUAACUGGCCCUCUCCGGGUAUCAAAUUUCGACAAAUUUCGACUUUUUGAGGUAUUUUUUACUAAUUUGCACUCCUAACUCCUCCCUACAUAUGUCUAUAUCCUUUAUUUUUCUAAUCUAUCUUGUUUUGCUUUAUUUAUGGCCUUACAAAGUAAAUAGAAGCAUAAUUUGUAAAAAGGCAGCAUUAGUAGCUUUAAUUUUUCUAUCCUUUUACUAAUAUCUAUUUUUCCAAGAUAAUUUGCUACA
rnacentral:lncRNA from 1 species